GCUCACGCUUGAGUGCGGAACGAUCUUAAAAGCUAUGUUGUCAUAUAACGUAUAUUCUGUAUCUGACGUCAGUGUCAUUCAAUACAGUAUGCUCCUAUACAUCGCAGCCUAAUGGUAACGCUGGUGGUGCCAUCUUUGGAUGGCCACGUUACUACUGUGUUUUGUCGGACCCCUGAAACCCGUAAUCACUUAAGCGGCGUCACCCGGCCACAGGCUGUUCGAGAUGAGGCGCUUCCCUAGACUGCUCUUUUUCUGAAUGCACGAGCUACACUUUGUACAUUGUGGCAGACGAUACCUAACUCGUGCCCCCUGAGCGGCAAAGGUUGUGGUUUGUGUAUAUACACAUGUCGUAGAAUGGCCCACGUAAUACAGAGAACAGGUUUUGAGGGCUCUUAUUAUCUGUAAGUAGCUUUGUAUCUGUUGACGCUUCUCUGAGGUACACUUUGAUAGGUGGAUUGGGCCCGUUGUAGACGAACCAUUACGACUGGAUAGCUUAGCUUCAGCUAGUCUGUAUGUUUGACCGUUGUCUGACUCCUCGGCGGCAGAGCUUCAAGCUUUGCUCCCCACCACUGUGGUGGCCAGUGCGCUGCUGUCGUUGUUGCGUCGCCUUGUUGUCUGUGUUUCGAAAUAUCUCCGUACGAUGUUUCCCUCUAUUUUUGUUUCUCUUUCAAACCUUAGUUAAUAUGACAAAGAAAACGAAUAGUAGUAUCUCUCUUGUAUAACUCGCUGUUGCCUUAAACAUGACUAGCAUAACAGUACCACCCGCAGACAGUCUAUGAUGCUUCACGCAUUCAUCUAGUACACGUCUGUGUGCUAGCUUUCAUUGUGAGCGACAAUAUCAGGGCGGAGUGGUUUUGGUCUCAGGCUUUCUCUCAUCCGCAAAAGGCGCUUCGAGUGAAAUUUCAGCUUAUCAGUGGGUUCACCUCGCUACGCUAUUCUACUCAGUUUCGGCGUACCUAGUGACCCAGGCCUGCGCUAACGGACCUGUAUGGCACCUACUUGCCUCUCAUCCCACGCUAAGUGUGCUGUCAAGUAACUGAGCACCAGCUUGCUAGCCAGCCCUAGACCUGAAACUCGGUUGUUACCCAUAAGCUCCGUGUGCGUGUCACUUAGUGAUCAAAUACAGGCAUUUUAGGGUCGUGGACUCGUUCUGAUCCAGUUUCCCUUACCCCCGUGCGCCCGAAGGGUAUGCUCACAAGGCUCUUUCGGCAAGUACUUCAAUAUUCGAGCAGCUUCGUCAUCAGUGGCAUAGCUUCGCUAAGGUAGCGUAGAUGCCAAACCGCUCUGGCUUCGUGAGUUCUAGCCAGCAUCGGAUGUUUGGCCGGUCCGUUGGCUCCACGUGGAUCGCUGGGUCACUAUCCGUCCGCAGUUCACGCCCCAGCUUCAGCGCUCGAAGACACAUGUAUGCGAAAAGGACACGCCGCCGCCGCACUGAUUCAUUACAUAUUACAAAACUUGUUUGUACCUCCAUUAAUGUUAAUAAAUAACUGGAGAACGAGGCAGCUGGGUCAGGGGAAGCAGCAUUCGUGUUGCCGCUAGCAACUGCAACCGUUUGUGCUGCUAUUGGCGAUUAUGUAUGUAGAACCACUCAAAAUAAGCGCCAAGCGUAUGUAGCUAACGGCAGCGAUAAAAUCAGCUUUCCUGAACAGGACUACGAAGUCCUGCGUAUUACGACGAAAUGCCGAAAAGGCUUUCAGCAAGAUUCUAGCAGCCGUCUAUGGCCUCUUACUUGGCGUGUUGUUUCGAAAAACACAACAACGAGAUGACGACGUCUGGAAAGCAGCAACGAUAGAUAUAACAGCAACCACUAUCGAAUUCGCCUCUUUUGCCGUAGAGAAAGCCAACUCUAAUGGCAAGAUCGAUGCCUGUUGUGUGAGGGCUCCGAUAUAAGGCCAGAGGAAGGAGGUCCGGACGAUGGUGGCGUUGAGGCGAAAACUGUAGGACAAACCGCGCUUCAGACCGAGCCAAGGAACACCAGCGGAAAAAGGAAGGGUUAACGUUAUUUGACAUUGAUUGCCGAUGCGGCAAUGCAAAAGCCCGAUAUAUGGCUGGUUUAUGCAUGGCUGCACUAGUGUUACAUCGAGUGUAAUUCUUGGUUUGAAGAUUAUUUGAACUUUCAAAAAAGUCUAGUAUAAUAAAUGUCAGACAAACGUU
rnacentral:lncRNA from 1 species